rnacentral:rRNA from 1 species
GUGGGGAAUUUUGGACAAUGGGCGAAAGCCUGAUCCAGCCAUGCCGCGUGUGUGAAGAAGGUCUUCGGAUUGUAAAGCACUUUAAGUUGGGAGGAAGGGCAGUAAGUUAAUACCUUGCUGUUUUGACGUUACCAACAGAAUAAGCACCGGCUAACUUCGUGCCAGCAGCCGCGGUAAUACGAAGGGUGCAAGCGUUAAUCGGAAUUACUGGGCGUAAAGCGCGCGUAGGUGGUUCAGCAAGUUGAAGGUGAAAUCCCCGGGCUCAACCUGGGAACUGCCUCCAAAACUACUGAGCUAGAGUACGGUAGAGGGUAGUGGAAUUUCCUGUGUAGCGGUGAAAUGCGUAGUUAUAGGAAGGAACACCAGUGGCGAAGGCGACUACCUGGACUGAUACUGACACUGAGGUGCGAAAGCGUGGGGAGCAAACAGGAUUAGAAACCCCGGUAGUCC